AAUCUGCAAAGCCAGCCACCCCACCCACCAUUAUAUUUAAUCCAUCUCCAAACUCUUACAUGCACAUUUAUAUAUUUAUACUAUAGAAUCUACAUCACUCUCCAAGGUCAAUUUACUCUCAAAACCCUGACCCUCCAACCAAUAUAUAUAUAUAUUGAGGUUUAUAGACAACUAGGGCCACCAUUUUUCCUUUCCUUUCUCCCCCUUAUUUAUUGUUUAUUUAUUAUUUCCCCUUCUCCCCUUACUUGGAGUUUCUGUCAUCAUCAUCCACCCUCAAGCAGUUAUUUAAUUUUCUCCUUUUGUAUGAAGGUGAUGAAGAAGAUGAGGAAGAUGAGUCACUGGACCUCAUUCUGCCUCGGAUUGAUACUCGAAGCUGAGGUAACAUCUUGGGUGGUUUCCUCCUGGCAUUGUCAACCACAAGCUCUUGCAUUAACCUGUAGCAGCUAAGGAUUUUCU
rnacentral:lncRNA from 1 species